AUUGAACGCUGGCGGCAGGCUUAACACAUGCAAGUCGAGCGGGGCGAUGUAGCUUGCUACAUUACCUAGCGGCGGACGGGUGAGUAAUGCUUAGGAAUCUGCCUAUUAGUGGGGGACAACAUUCCGAAAGGAAUGCUAAUACCGCAUACGCCCUACGGGGGAAAGCAGGGGAUCUUCGGACCUUGCGCUAAUAGAUGAGCCUAAGUCAGAUUAGCUAGUUGGUGGGGUAAAGGCCUACCAAGGCGACGAUCUGUAGCGGGUCUGAGAGGAUGAUCCGCCACACUGGGACUGAGACACGGCCCAGACUCCUACGGGAGGCAGCAGUGGGGAAUAUUGGACAAUGGGCGCAAGCCUGAUCCAGCCAUGCCGCGUGUGUGAAGAAGGCCUUUUGGUUGUAAAGCACUUUAAGCGAGGAGGAGGCUACUUAGAUUAAUACUCUAGGAUAGUGGACGUUACUCGCAGAAUAAGCACCGGCUAACUCUGUGCCAGCAGCCGCAGUAAAAC
rnacentral:rRNA from 1 species